AUUUUAUCAGAUAUUAUUAAACAUAGGUCUACUUGUUGUUGUACGAAAUGAAUGCAAGGUGUCAUAUAUAAAUAAGAAGAUGUCUGUCUGCAAAGGUUAAUUUUACUGUGACCUCAUUUUCAUAGAAUAAUGAUAAUAUUAAACAGCAAGAAUGAUGAGCAAGUCGAUGUUAUACAAAUGAGGCAAAAUUUUCAGUUACCCACUAAUUAUGUAAUAGUAGUUAUUUUGUCAUUAAAUGAUAAUGUUUACCCUUUUAUGUGUAGGGCAAGAAUAUUAAAGAUAAAGGGAAACUAUAAACAGAAGAAAUUAUCAACAAAAAUAGAUUUACAGAGGUCAACAAAGCCUAAAUGGUAAGUCUACUGUUAUAAAAAGUUUUUGCCCUUGAAUACUAUUAAAUAUUUAUUAAAGUAAGAUGUGGUAUGAUAAAUGAGAAAACUAUCCAUCAGAGUUCAAUUCAGUGGAUGUAAGAAUUGUAAUUACUUAUUAGAGGCCAAUAUAAAUGACCUGUAAGUACUAAGAAAACCCAUACCCUAUACAUGAUAUAGUAAUCUAUAAAAGACAACACUAACAAAAUUUGAAACAAAGCAUCAAUUCAAACUUCAAACAGUCAAAUAUACCAGACUAAUUUAUAAAAACAAAAAAUUAUGAAAAACAAAAAUGACGGAUAUGAACCAACAUAAACCACUGAACUAUGUACAAGCUCCUGAUAUUGGACAGGCAUGAUAUGGCUGGGUUGAUAUACAAAUAAGAAGCAGUCUGAUUUCCAAUGAGACUUUUCUCCAAUAGAGAUCAAAUGACAUUUAAGGGGGCUUAAGGGUAUAAAAAUUUCAAAAAAAUAUUACAUAUUUUUGUUUUUCAUAACUAAUUUAAUUUAUAACUUCAUUAGUUGUUACUUCAUCAUAUGGUACAAAAAUCAUUCAAAACAAUCAAUUCGUUU
rnacentral:lncRNA from 1 species